CAGAGGCUGAUGAUGAUGACCGCAUAGUUCAGCAGAUUAAACCAUGAAGAAUAAAGCAGCAUUGUCUUUCGCUCCUAUCUGAUCCGUCAGCCUCUA